AGGGGCCUCCCUCGCCAGGGACCCGGCGCCGUCUUCCUCACGCAGGCCUGUGUUCCUCGCAGCGGCAGCUCACGCCACCAGCCUCAGAGCCCGCCUCCCGCCUGUCUCCGCCAGCCGGUGCCUCCCGCUGACACCCGCCCCGGACGCCUGCCGCCACCACCGCCCUCCGCCGCCUUCGCCAACGCUCACUGACGCCCAGCGCUCUCCGCUGCCAGAUGCCCUCAGACUCCUGCCGCCGCCACCAGAGGCCCUCUUGCCAGGGACCCGGCUCCCUUGUUCUCACGCAGGCCUCGCCAACUUGCAGCAGCCUCAGCUCAUAGUCUCCACAGGGAACAACUUCAUCUCUCUGAACUCAACUAAUGAAAGUUCUACUUGAUCCAUUUCUGCAAACAUCUGCUGCUCUCUACCUCCAGGGUCACACGAGGCAGGUAGGUAACUCCUUUUAGCUUCCUUAGCAAGCCACCAUCAGUGUCCUUCCCAGUGUUCAUCCCAUAGCGUUACAGAGAGCACAGCUGUUCUCUGAGAAACCUCCAUCCUGCUUUCCAUGGUGGCUGCACCAACUUGCAAUUUCCUCCCAGAGCUGCAGGUAGUUUUAACAAUACUACUAAUUUUUAUUUUAACGUUAAUAUCAACCAUUUUAAUUCUUGCAUUCCAUAAGCAUGAGAUGCUUUCCAUUAACUUGUGUCACCUUCAGUUUCUAGCCUCAGUAUCUUAGCAUCUUCAGAGAACACCUCUUUCACCUCCUUGGUUAAACAUCCUCCAGAUCUCUUACUGCU